UUACUGCACGGCAGCGGGUCGGCUUCGAACCUGGUCAGGGCGGAAGCAGCAGCCAUAAGGAGUACGGCCCGCGUGUCGCAGUGCAGAGUGUC
rnacentral:SRP_RNA from 1 species